rnacentral:rRNA from 1 species
GAAAGCCUAAGGUUUCCUGAGCAACGCUCGUCGACUCAGGGUAAGUCGGGACCUAAGCCGAGGCGGAAAAGCGUAGGCGAUGGACAACAGGUUGAAAUUCCUGUACUAUCCUGUAACAGAACUGUGGGGACGCAGAAAGAGAGCGUGAGCCGGGAAUGGAAAGACCGGUGCAAGCGAGGUAGGAGUCACAUAGGAAAAACCGUGUGGCAAUCCAAAGGCGUGAUGCGGAGCGAACUGAAGUAGCGAAGUAUGUGAGCCAUGCGUCGAGAAAAGCCGCUAUUGUUCAUGCUGUACCCGUACCGUAAACCGACACAGGUAGUCAAGGAGAGAAUCCUGAGGUGCUCGAGUGAUUCAUGGCUAAGGAACUAGGCAAAAUGACCCUGUAACUUCGGGAGAAAGGGUGCCUGGGAAACCAGGCCGCAGAGAAUAGGCUCAAGCAACUGUUUAGCAAAAACACAGGUCUAUGCGAAACCGAAAGGUGAGGUAUAUGGGCUGACGCCUGCCCGGUGCUGGAAGGUUAAGAGGAGAGGUUAGCGCAAGCGAAGCUUUGAACUUAAGCCCCAGUAAACGGCGGCCGUAACAAUAACGGUCCUAAGGUAG